rnacentral:lncRNA from 1 species
CCAACCUUCCUUUAGUGGCCUUGAACCUUGUGUUUAAAUUUCAUAGAUUUCUAUUUACUUAUACUAAAGCUAUGGUGCGAAAACCAAGAAUAAUGCUUACUAGGGCCCCUAAUUCCUAAACUGUUCAGACCUCAACUCCCAAAAUCAAUCCCAACCUUCCUUUUGUGGUCAUACACCUUGUGUCAAAAUUUCAUUGAUUUCUAUUUACUAAUACUAAAGUUAUUGUGCGAAAACCAAGAAUAAUGCUUAUUUGGGCCCUUUUUUGGCCCCUAAUUCCUAAACUGUUUGAACUAAAACUCCAAAAAUCAAUCCCAACCUUCCUUUAGUUGUCAUAAACCUUGUGUCAAAAUUUCAUAGAU